UGUAUGUAAGAUGGUUACAAGAUGAUUAGGACACUUUUUAUAUAGUAGAGGAAUCUUAUUUAUGAUACAAUUCUAAUUACGGAAGUAAAUCCCAUGAUUAACUAAAUAACCACCCUUUUUGUUCUGUUCCUAGAUUUAUGCCAUGAUCUUCGGCCAGUCAUGGAUAUCUCACCUUUCUGUUAUUGUGCUUUGCUCGAUGUUUGUCCCCUUUGGUCUCGAUCGCUACUGGCCUCGAUCUUCGAUAAGUUCCUCGGUCCUAGAAAUUCGGUGCCUUGUCCUCGUACCUUGUUCUGCUCGGUUGCGAGGCCGACCGAUACAAUUCCUUAGCCUCGAUCAAAUAAUAAAAUCGGGCCUACCCGAUUUUUAUCGUAUACAAAUUAUUUACAUAUGCAGUCUUUGGUCUUCUUUCUUGUCCUUUUUCUAGUAGUUCUUGGCCAAAAAUAUCUGCAAACAAAUAAACAUGUUAUAAAUUAGAAGGUUACAUAUUCUUACGGGAAAAUAUGAUAACGAUCACAUGCUUGUUGUAGAAGCGCAGAAGUUGAAAUAUAUAAGAAGGCAAAAGUCGUGAAAUUAGCAUAUUAUAGAUUUAUAAUAUAUGUAUUUGUUGUCAAGAUACAUUCAUCAAAGAUAUGAUACCUUAUCAGUUUCAAGAAGACUAUCAGCUAUAAGCACCUCUCUCAAUAGUAUGUUUCAACUGUACACAUAAAAAGCUCUCUUCUGGAAAAUUCUUUAUCAAAUUGAAUAACAAAUAAAUCAGAGGAUAUUGCAGAAAGUGAUGAAAAUUAAAAAGUUACUAUGAGAGUUACUUUGUUGUUGCAAUUGCCACCCACACAUCAAAGCAAUAAACACAUAAAUUUCUUCUGAAAGAUAAAGCCAAAGCUAAUAGGUCACCAAAAAGAAGAAACCAUUGUCCCCAAUAAAUUAAGAAAAUGAGAAAGAGUUGUUUAAAUUUUUUUUUUUAUCUUUAUCGCAAAAACUUAAAAUUACUUUUAUUACAGCAUCUAAGAAAAGAAAAGGCGCACAACCUUAGCAUCUUUGGAGCAACUCAGAGCAUAUGUCGCUUAACUCUCUCACAAAAAUGAUGAUUCUCUAUUUCAUUUCCUUCAGAAAAUAAGUAACGUAUAGGAGAGAGUGUCCACAUAAAGUUGCUGGAUUUGGAAUGGAAUCUAACAUGUCAUCAAGUGUGAUUGGUCUUGCCACUAUUGCUACCUCAAGAAUAUGCAUCAAUUUACUAUUUAAUCAUAUUUUGAAUGAAGAGCAGUUCAGAUUGUACCCAAAAAUUUCUUUUUCAAAUUAUACCUAACAUCAAUAUCAGUAUCAGUAUCGAGUUGAGAUAAAAAUUUCUGUGAAAAGAAAACCAACAAU
rnacentral:lncRNA from 1 species